CACGUAGGUGGCGAGCGUUGUCCGGAUUUAUUGGGCGUAAAGAGCUCGUAGGCGGCUCAGUAAGUCAGGUGUGAAAACUCCAGGCUCAACCUGGAGACGCCACUUGAUACUGCUGUGGCUAGAGUCCGGUAGGGGAGCAUGGAAUUCCUGGUGUAGCGGUGAAAUGCGCAGAUAUCAGGAGGAACACCAGCGGCGAAGGCGGCGCUCUGGGCCGGAACUGACGCUGAGGAGCGAAAGCGUGGGUAGCAAACAGG
rnacentral:rRNA from 1 species